rnacentral:rRNA from 1 species
AUACGUAGGGCGCGAGCGUUGUCCGGAAUUACUGGGCGUAAAGAGCUCGUAGGUGGUUUGUCGCGUCGUCUGUGAAAUUCCGGGGCUUAACUCCGGGCGUGCAGGCGAUACGGGCAUAACUUGAGUACUGUAGGGGAGACUGGAAUUCCUGGUGUAGCGGUGAAAUGCGCAGAUAUCAGGAGGAACACCGGUGGCGAAGGGGGGUCUCUGGGCAGUAACUGACGCUGAGGAGCGAAAGCAUGGGUAGCGAACAGGAUUAGAUACCCUGGUAGUCCAUGCCGUAAACGGUGGGCGCUAGGUGUAGGGGUCUUCCACGACUUCUGUGCCGUAGCUAACGCAUUAAGCGCCCCGCCUGGGGAGUACGGCCGCAAGGCUAAAACUCAAAUGAAUUGACGGGG